GAGUUUGAUCCUGGCUCAGAACGAACGCUGGCGGCGUGCUUAACACAUGCAAGUCGGAUGCGAACGGCGCUUUCGGGCGUUGAGUAGCAUGGCAGACGGGUGAGGAGCGCGUAUCUGACUGGACUCAGGCUGGGGGAUAGUCCCUCGAAAGGGGGUUGAAUACCGCAUGUGCUCGGUGCUGUGAGGGCAUCGAGGAAAGUUGGCCUCUGCGGGCACGCUGAUGGCCUGAGACAGGGAUGCUUCCUAUUAGCUAGCUGGUGGGGUAAGGGCCUACCAGGGCGACGAUGGGUAGCUGGUCUGAGAGGAUGAUCACCCACACUGGGACUGCGACACGGGCCAGACUCCUACUGGAGGCAGCAGUGGGGAAUUUUGCGCAAUGGGCGCAAGCCUGACGCAACAGCACCUCGUGCAUGACGACUCCUUUCGAGGUGUAAAGUGCUGUCGACCGUGACGAAGGGGCGAGGGUGAACAGCUUUCUCGCAUGACGGAUCCGGUGGAGGAAGCCCCGGCUAACUCCGUGCCAUCAACCCUGGUAAGACGGACGGGUCGAGCGUUGUUCUGAAUUACUGGGGCGUAAAUCGCGCGUACGCUUUGCACAAGUGGUGCGUGAAAGCCCUCGGCUUAACCGAGGACGGGCGUG
rnacentral:rRNA from 1 species